UCCUACGGGAGGCAGCAGUGGGGAAUUUUGGACAAUGGGGGCAACCCUGAUCCAGCAAUACCGCGUGCAGGAAGAAGGCCUUCGGGUUGUAAACUGCUUUUGUACGGAACGAAACGGUAAGGGCUAAUACCUCUUGCUAAUGACGGUACCGUAAGAAUAAGCACCGGCUAACUACGUGCCAGCAGCCGCGGUAAUACGUAGGGUGCAAGCGUUAAUCGGGAUUACUGGGCGUAAAGCGUGCGCAGGCGGUUUUGUAAGACAGGCGUGAAAUCCCCGGGCUCAACCUGGGAAUGGCGCUUGUGACUGCAAGGCUCGAGUACGGCAGAGGGGGAUGGAAUUCCGCGUGUAGCAGUGAAAUGCGUAGAUAUGCGGAGGAACACCGAUGGCGAAGGCAGUCCCCUGGGCCUGUACUGACGCUCAUGCACGAAAGCGUGGGGAGCAAACAGGAUUAGAUACCCUGGUAGUCCACGCCCUAAACGAUGUCAACUGGUUGUUGGGUCUUCACUGACUCAGUAACGAAGCUAACGCGUGAAGUUGACCGCCUGGGGAGUACGGCCGCAAGGUUGAAACUCA
rnacentral:rRNA from 1 species